rnacentral:rRNA from 1 species
AAUCAACGCUGGCGGCGUGCCUAACACAUGCAAGUCGAACGAGAAGGUGACUUCGGUCACUGGAUAGUGGCGUCCGGGUGAGUAACACGUAGGUAAUCUACCUUCGGGUGGGGAAUAACGUCUCGAAAGAGACGCUAAUACCGCAUAAUGCAGCGGCACCUAAUGGUGAUUAGUUGUUAAAGCGGGGGAUCUUCGGACCUCGCGCCUGAAGAGGAGCCUGCGGCAGAUUAGCUAGUUGGUGAGGUAAUGGCUCACCAAGGCUUCGAUCUGUAGCUGGUCUGAGAGGACGGCCAGCCACACUGGCACUGACACACGGGCCAGACUCCUACGGGAGGCAGCAGUGGGGAAUUUUGGGCAAUGGGCGAAAGCCUGACCCAGCAACGCCGCGUGAAGGAGGAAAUCCUUCGGGAUGUAAACUUCAUAAGUAAGGGAAGAAAGCUGCGGAUCGAAUAAGUCCGCAGUCCGACGGUACCUUACGUAAGCCACGGCUAACUACGUGCC